GGCCAGCCCGGGGAGGAAGAUGGAGGAGCCGCGGCCGGGCGGGCACCGCGGCCGUGCCAGGAGCGCGGCGGAGGGGCUGCUCUUGAUGGGUGGAAAACACCGCUUCUCGCUCUCCUCACGGCAUGGAAAAUACCGAAACACGCUUUAGGAGAAAAAAAUAACACAGCAACAACCCCCAAACAGCUGAGGAUUGAUGUAUCUUCAGGGAAGAAGCCGUCGCCGCUCGCCUGGCUCCUCACGACAACCUGCCCGCCAUUUGCUUAAUUAAAAGCAUAUACUUGAUGUGAUCAGAUGUGGUAAUACCGUAAAAAAAAAAACCCAAACCAAACCAAAAUACCCCGUAACAUCCAAACGCUCGUUGUUGGAGGCUGCAGCCAAGCUCGGCUGCUUAUUCCAGAAGUUUCUACAGGGGAGGGAGCACCCACUGCGGAGCCUUUGCCGCAGCGCCGGGAGGAGAUGCCGAGGAUGCGCCACCUCUCCCCUUCCCAAGCCUCCCCCCUUCGCUCGAUUUUCCCCAUCCUUGGGAAAAAAACGCUGCUGGGAGAUGCCGAUUGUUCUGCUGCAUCCUGAGAACUGGGCUGUACAGAGGACCGCGCCGCCUUGCCGGAGCGGAGCUGUGGACUCGCUUGCUGCUCAGUAAACAUCUGCUUAUAGAUCUUUAUUUCUUUGAUUAUCUUUUUCUAAUUCAUUACCUUUUUGCAGUCCCCAAGCGACCUCCUUUAGUGCUGGCUCCGCUGUGGUUUGACCGCAGCUUCGCGUUAAAGCGCUAAUGUGUCUAAUGACCUUGCUUGGGGACCGGGCCCACCGGGCUGCUGCGGAUGCUCCGUUUCCAUUACAGAACCCCACACGCCGUGUAUUCCCAUUUUUCCAACGCAUCCUUCCCUCGCCUGGGAAUGUUGCAAUAUUAUAGUGUCUUCUGCCUUAUUUUUUGUCCUUUUUCCCCCCCUCUUUCCUAGGGAUACACAGGAUUGUGUAACCCACGGCAGAUGUAACCAUCUCAGAGCUGUCUGGGCAGUCGGAUCUGGCCUUGCUGAGACACGGGUUGUGUAAGUGGCGUGUUGUACGCAGGCCACAAAACCCCACAACAUUUCAGUGGUUACGUCUGUCUGGGAGAGCGUGAGUAGGUCCCAGGGCUUCCCCUUCCCACCGCUUUGCCGGUUCACAAAACGAGAGGCUGAUGCUUCUGGAAAAAGCUCUGCCUUGUGGCCUUUAAAAAAAAAAAACCUGCUGUGGAUUAGUCAUCCUUGUUUUUAAAGGAAGCUGCGUUUGCCAGCCCUGGCCGUGUAACGCGUGUGUGUUAUCAGCCAUUGGGUUUAUUUGCUGGUAAGGUGCUGGGCUCUCUGGGGCGGCGCCACCGCGGCUCCUUCGAGCUGUUCCCGGCGGGUGGAAGAGCCACCACGGUCCAGCUUUUCAUGCCCUUCCCUCCGUUCUCUUGUUUUUCAGCGCUGGAAAUGUGGAGAACGCACCAAACGCACGUGGGGACAGACAAACGUAUUCUGGGGUCACUUCAACUCUGGAGGAGAAGCCCUGGGAUGUGUUGGUUUGGAGAUGCUCCUUGUGCUCACCGGAGGUACCAAGAAGCUGCUUGUUGGGGAUGUUUCCACGUUUUUGAGGUUGGCAACACCCCGUGGGACUCGGAAUUAACUUUUCUUUGGUAGUCGAGGACAAACGAGUGAGAAUCACCUUGGGAGCGCUGAACUUUUACCCCCCUCUCCUUCGGACUGAAGAGCUUCUAGAACUACAUCGGUGAGGCUUCCAAGUUAAACAAAACCUGAAUUCCCGCUGCCAAAAAGCAAGCGAGCGAUAGAAACCUCCACAUCUCCUCCGUGAGGGGGGACACCGCGGUCUCCCGAGAUUAUUCUGGUAUCCCCAAGAGUUAAAAAUGCUGCAUCGUGAGACCUGCGGAGGUCAAACGAAAGCCAGAGCUCACCGAGAAACUCUUCUCCGUAUCGCUCAAGGGGUUUUUGAGCAUAGCAGGUCUCCACGCACCAUUAUUUUUGUGUCUUUGUCAGGACCAAAGGAGCGAUAAUAGUGUGUUCAGUCUGCUUUGUUUAAAACACCGUCGAGUUGCUUUGCUAUCAAAAUGGUGUCUGGUGAAAGAAAAGCUCUGGUGGUGGCUGGCUCGGUGGUUAUUUUGUGCCAACCGAUCCCUCGUGGCUUUGGGCUGUGGGUUCGUGUUAAACCCUUGUCCUCCAGCG
rnacentral:lncRNA from 1 species